UGUUGCCUCUGCUGAAGGGGUACAAGAAUUUGCAAGUGGGAAAUGCCCUGUGGGAAUUUCACUUCAUAGCCUAAUUGCUCAGUGAUACAGACAAGGUGAAAACCUAUUUAAUGAGCCAAACUGUGUAGUCCAGGUACUGAUGACUUGGUGGAGGCACCCUGAAAGACACUGGUAUUCAGAACUUAAAGAAAAGAUAAAUUACUGUGUAUCAGCUUAUCAUGCAAUGCAUUUCAACACAAGGCAUUAGAAGGAGCCUUUGGAUGUACUCACCUGAUCCAGGGCAAGAGCAACUACAAACAACAGUGACCAAGACUCUCAGACGUGGUGUGAUAUCCAUUAAUGAUGUCACACAACAAACUUGGGAGCUGACAAUAUGAAAGCAAUGCCAACAGCAAAUGACCCCAAUAACAAGAACAGAAGAAAAUCCUUCUGCAAAAUAUGGCCAGGACGCAGCAUCACUUCCCACGAGCAGCUGCUCUGGCUGCUUAAUCCCUCUGUGGAAGUGCUGCCUCCAGGGCCUGCAUCCCCCAGAGCAGAUCCCUGCGUGGCGCUGCUCCGGAGCAGCGUGGGAGCCGCGGGCUGAGCACAGCAGCAGAACCGAGCACCUGGGUCCAGGGGGAGCUGCUUCGUGGAGCUACAGCAAGAUUGCACCUGAGUUCUCUGUGCUGCUGAUUCGCAGGUGACAAAAUGAAGAACUGAAAAUUUUAUCAAUUCUGUGACACAGAGUCCUUAUAUAAUACACAAUGUGGACAUUUCAGAGUUGGACUGAUUUGUAAAAGCAAUUUGA